rnacentral:rRNA from 1 species
UUCCGGUUGAUCCUGCCGGAGGCUACCGCUAUUGGAGUUCGAUUAAGCCAUGCGAGUCUAGAGGCCUAGCCUCGGCGUACCGCUCAGUAACACGUGGGUAACCUACCCUAUGCUGGGGAAUAAGCUCGGGAAACUGAGAAUAAUACCCCAUAGUCCACUACGCCUGGAACGGUGAGUGGAUCAAAGCUCCGGCGGCAUAGGAUGGGCCUGCGGCGUAUCAGGUUGUAGGGGGUGUAAUGUACCCUCUAGCCAUCCACGCGUACGGGUGUUGGGAGACAUUGCCCGGAGAUGGAUUCUGAGACACGAAUCCAGACCCUACUGGGUGCAGCAGGCGCGAAAACUUGGCAAUGCGAGAAAUCGUGACCAGGGAACUCCAAGUGGCAGGGGUAAGACCCUGUCUUUUUCCGACUCUAAAUAGGUCGGCGAAUAAGGGGUGGGUAAGGACGGUGCCAGCCGCCGCGGUAAUACCGGCGCCUCAAGUGGUAGUCGCUUUUAUUGGGCCUAAAACGUCCGUAGCCGGUCUGGUACAUUCGUGGGUAAAUCAACUCGCUUAACGAGUUGAAUUCUGCGAGGACGGCCAGACUUGGGACCGGGAGAGGUGUGGGGUACUCUCAGGGUAGGGGUAAAAUCCUGUCAUCCUGAGAGGACCACCUGUUGCGAAGGCUCCACACUAGAACGGAUCCGACGGUCAGGGACGAAGCCUAGGGGCACGAACCGGAUUAGAUACCCGGGUAGUCCUAGGUGUAAACGCUGUGGACUUGAUGUUGGGGACGCUCCGAGCGUUCUCAGUGUCGAAGCGAAGGUGAUAAGUCCACUGCCUGGGGAGUACGGUCGCAAGGCUGAAACUUAAAGGAAUUGGCGGGGGAGCACCGCAACCUGAGGAUUGUGCGGUUUAAUUGGAUCAACGCCGGA